rnacentral:rRNA from 1 species
GACCUCAAUCAGGUAGGAUAGCCC